AGCUUUUGCCCAAAUAAUAUUUCUUCAAUGAUAAACCUGACAGGUGAUGUCACUACAGAAGUUGUGAUGAAACAAAGGGUAUUCAUUACUUAAAGCAUACACAUUUUUUUCCACAUAACAGGAAAAGAUUAACAAUUGAUUGCAUUGAUUGCAUUGCAUGAGAACAUGUCUUGUUAAGACAUUUAACUCACU